rnacentral:antisense_RNA from 18 species
GCUUAUGGCGGCUGUACGUGCGGGCCCCCUCAUGUGUGCCGAGUGCCAACAAUCUCGGUCUGUCAACCCAAGUACAACUGCCACCCUC